AGUGGGGAAAAGACCAGCACCUAUGUCAGCAACUUCUGUAUUUACAGGAUGGCCUAAGAUACGAGUGUAAAGACCUGUGAUGGGGCCAGGCACACAGUCGGCGCUGGCACAUGGUAUCCUUGACUUUAUCAAUGACAUCAUCAAAUCCUUGGACCCAUCAGAAGUUCCUGACAUCAAACACACUCAUUCACACAUGCAGAGCAAUAAAAGAUGUCUCCAUGCUGAAGGAGCAUGUGGUCUGGUGGGGAAGAUGCACAUAGAUGAGAGGACGGGCAUCUGUGACCCUCAGAAGCACCUUCCUGUUUCACAGGCCUUGUCUGACCAGCAGUGUACCUGACCCCUGAAAGGCUCUGAGUUUUAAACCCUGAAAAUGAACAGCAGGAAUUUCCCUGGUGCUCCAGAGGUUAAGAAUCCAUGCUUCAGCUGCAGAGGGCACAGGUUUGAUCCCUGGUUGGGGAAAUAAGAUCCUGCGAAGUGAGGAAAAAAAUAAAUAAAAAUAAAAUAACA
rnacentral:lncRNA from 1 species